UUUUAAUGGAAAGUCCACUUCAUUUGAACAUGAUUUAUUCAGGUGAGUAAAAGUUAACUGAACAACUGGUAGGCUUAAAAAGUUACAUUAGCCACAGGGGAUGUAAAAUUGUAUACAAGGGUAAUUAUUUUUCACUGUUAGAGGUUUUCAAGACAGUUAACCGUCUCAAAUAUUUUGCAGCACCCAUAAAAUUGGAUCAGUCAUUGGCCAAACCAAAUGAAAACAAUAGCGGUCAUCAACAGAGCGGAUUUCCAUCAAAGUACUCAGCCAUGAUGAGAAAUGAGACUGUUGUUCUACAGAGAAAAAUCUGGAAAGAUUCUGAUGUAGCCUAUGCUAUACCUAAACGAUACAUCAAAUGGGAUAUAAGGAAUAUGGCCUUAUAAAAUUCACAAAUAGCCCUCUAAUCAAAUCCCUCUGAGAUGGUACCACACAAAUCAAAACAAUAAAUGCAUCAUUUAAUUAGC
rnacentral:lncRNA from 1 species